UACGUAGGGGGCAAGCGUUGUCCGGAUUCAUUGGGCGUAAAGAGCGUGUAGGCGGCCAGGUAGGUCGGUUGUGAAAACUGGAGGCUCAACCUUCAGAGGUCGACCGAAACCAUCUGGCUAGAGUCCGGGAGAGGAGAGUGGAAUUCCUGGUGUAGCGGUGAAAUGCGCAGAUAUCAGGAAGAACACCUAUGGCGAAGGCAGCUCUCUGGGACGGUACUGACGCUGAGGCGCGAAAAGCGUGGGGAGCGAUCCGG
rnacentral:rRNA from 1 species